CUUUUCUUGAAUCCAAAACAAAAGUGUAGAAAAUUUUCUUGUGCGUUUGAGUUUUGAAACUUUUGUUCUUAUUCCUUUUCAUUCAACUCGUUUGGGCUUUAAUUUCCCUUUUGCUUUACAAAUCUGCAAACCCUAGCCCUAAUUUUCACCCCAAUUUACUAUCUCAGCAUGUACAAUAACUACGACCCCAGGCUUCAGGAUGCGGGCUCUUAUCGUCAGCGCCGGAGUGAUUUAAUGGGGCAGCCACCAAUGAUGAUUCCACCCCCUAUGCCAGGUGGUGCUGCACCCAGCUACAGCCGUGGUGGUCCAACUCCAUAUGGAGGUCCUCCGGUGCCACCACCUCAUAUGGUGGGUGGUGCCAGAGUUGGAGGAGGUGGUGUCGGGAUUAAUGGAUAUCAUGAGAUUGAGCAUGGUGUUCGAAGAGGCUAUGAGGCUGGUCAUGGCAGUGGAUUCGGUAAUCGGGGCGGAGGUGGUGGAGGAAGAGGGUUUGGUGAUAGAGGGUUUAGCAAUAGUGGUGCUGGGGGUCGUGGUGGAGGUAGAGGCUUUGAUGGAGGUCGUGGUGGGAGGGGUCGAGGUAGUGGUGGGAGAGGAGGCAGGCCAAGGGGGGAUGAUUUAGAUGCCAUUUCUCUUCCAAAACCAGAUUUUAGAGGCUUGAUUGCUUUUAAGAAGGAUUUUUAUGUGGAGAGCCCAUCUGUUAGGGCAAUGACUGAGCAAGAGGUUAUGAUUUACCGUGCAAGGCGGGAUAUAACUAUUGAAGGGCAUGAUGUCCCUAAGCCAAUUCGGAUGUUUCAAGAAGCAAAUUUCCCUGAUUACUUCCUUGAGGUCUUUGCUAGAUUGGGUUUUGUUGAACCGACUCCUAUCCAAUCACAAGGAUGGCCAAUGGCUUUAAGGGGUCGAGAUCUGAUAGGCAUUGCUGAGACUGGUUCUGGAAAGACUUUGGCGUAUUUGCUGCCUGCUUUUGUUCAUGUUAGUGCUCAACCCAGGCUGGCACAAGGUGAAGGUCCCAUUGCACUAGUGCUAGCACCUACCAGAGAGUUGGCUGUUCAGAUUCAAGAAGAAGCUGUAAAAUUUGGAUCAUAUGCAAACAUAAGAAGUACUUGCAUAUAUGGUGGUGCCCCCAAAGGACCACAAAUUCGCGAUCUUAAAAGAGGCGUUGAAAUUGUCAUUGCUACACCCGGCCGAUUGAUAGAUAUGUUGGAAGCUCAACACACUAACUUGAAAAGAGUGACGUAUCUAGUGUUAGAUGAGGCUGAUCGCAUGCUAGAUAUGGGAUUUGAACCCCAAAUCAGGAAACUUGUUUCUCAGAUUCGUCCUGAUAGGCAAACCCUGUACUGGAGUGCCACAUGGCCAAGGGAGGUAGAAACUUUGGCAAGACAGUUCCUGCGCAAUCCUUACAAGGUCAUCAUUGGGUCUGCAGACCUGAAAGCUAAUCAAUCUAUACGUCAAGUUAUUGAAGUUAUGACUGAUUUGGAGAAGUACAACAGGUUGAUCCGCUUGCUGAAGGACGUGAUGGAUGGGAGUAAAAUUCUAAUUUUUGUGGAGACAAAGAAAGGAUGUGAUCAAGUCACGAGACAGCUGAGAAUGGAUGGAUGGCCUGCUUUGUCCAUACAUGGUGAUAAAAGCCAGGAUGAAAGGGAUUGGGUCCUGGCAGAGUUUAAAACUGGCAGGAGUCCUAUAAUGAUUGCCACUGAUGUUGCUGCCCGUGGCCUUGGUAGGAUUAGUGUCACAGUUUAGGUUUUAGCCUCUCAUUUCGUCUUGCAACUACAUAGACAAGUCUCCCGGCUGUUCUCCAUGUUCCUGAUAGUAUUGUGGUUUGGGUGCGGAAGUUUGUGCAUUUGUUGGCUGCUCACUACAAUUUUGCUGUACAUGAGCAAGGUGCUUUUUUAAUGUCGUUGGAGGAAUUAAACUGGAUUUGGAGGAUAUUGUUAUUGUAUGCACCUUGAAUGGUGCCUUGGCCUAGUGAUGACCUAGAAGGUUGAGAUAGUGAUGAGAUAGAAGUAGUCAAGAUGAUGCUUUCUUAAUUUGCUCAAAGAGUGAGAACAAAAGUGGCAAUGACUGUAGAAUGUUCCAGAUGAUUCCUCUUCCUGGUACUAACUUAUUGUAUCAGCUUAAGUUGUGCAGACACAUGGAGCACGCUUCACCAAUGUGUAAUGACGUGCUAUGGUUUUUUAUAGGCGAGUAUAUCAUAGGUUCUGAAUUCCAUAGGUUUUGUUAACUGUUGUCGCUGAUGGUCAUUGUCAAUUUGCUGAAACUGAGAUUGAGAAUAGAUGUGGGCUUUACAUUUGCCUUAAAUAGAGUCCUCCACAUACAGUGUGCUCGUCCUAUUUGUCUGAGUAGCAUAAUUGAAGCUAAAGUACCCAUCCACACUCGGGGAGCUGGUAGUUAUGACAGCCGGUUGACUGGAGCGAGAUUAUUCAUUGAUUGGACAAUGAUUAGGAAAAUUAUGGAGGAGCUGCUCCUUAUCCCUGCAAAGUAAGAUGUGAAAGACAUAAAAUGCGUCGUCAAUUAUGAUUUUCCAUCAAGUCUUGAGGAUUACGUCCACAGGAUUGGCCGAACUGGUCGGGCAGGAGCCAGUGGAACCGCUUUCUCAUUUUUCACCCAUGGAAAUGCCAAGUAUGC